UACGGAGGAUGCGAGCGUUAUCCGGAUUUAUUGGGUUUAAAGGGUGCGUAGGCGGGAUGCCAAGUCAGCGGUAAAAUUGCGGGGCUCAACCUCGUCGAGCCGUUGAAACUGGGUGCCUUGAGUGGGCGAGAAGUACGCGGAAUGCGUGGUGUAGCGGUGAAAUGCAUAGAUAUCACGCAGAACCCCGAUUGCGAAGGCAGCAUGCCGGCUUCCGACUGACGCUGAAGCACGAAAGCGUGGGGAUCGAACAGG
rnacentral:rRNA from 1 species